CUUUCCUCCAAUUUUACUGAAUUAUACUUUGGUGAAGUCCAGUAAUUCAAGUGUUUGGCUAACAAUCAUCAAGGCCACAAAAACCCAGCCUCUGCUCUUGGCAGUAUCAGGAACUUCAUAGAAUACAUCACUUUCAAAUUGCAGCUGCAAAUGGUCUUGUUAAAGGUAUCAUCAGACAAACUUAAAGAUGAUCUGACAAUGUCAUUUUCCAAGGGACUGAUAGAAAGAUUGAGUAUCAUGGAAUCAGAACAGACAACAGAGAAUCAGAUUUGGACUGAAUCAGAAUAAACAGGCAAUGCAGACACUUGUUCUCUGAAUCACAAUCAAGACUCAGUGCUGGAACAGAUUUGAGGAAUGUAUACAAUUCUUAUCUAAACUGAUGUCUGAUAUUUAACCAGGGGAGAGAAGAGACACCAGAUACUUGCAGACACAGAAGAAAUACCAUGUGCAAACAUACCCAGAAGACCACCAUCUGCAAGAGAAGGAGAGAGACCUCAGAAUACACCAAUGCUGCUGAAACCUUCAUCUUGGACUUCCAGCCUCCAGACUUUGAGAAAAUAAAUUUCUGUUGUUUAAGGAGCGCAGUCUAUGGUAUUUGGUAA
rnacentral:lncRNA from 10 species